GCGAGUGAAGCGGGAAAAGCUCAAAUUUAAAAUCUGGCGGCUUUGGUCGUCCGAGUUGUAUUCUAGAGAAGUGUUUUCCGCGUUGGACCGUGUAUAAGUCUCUUGGAACAGAGCGUCAUAGAGGGUGAGAAUCCCGUCUUUGACACGGACUACCAAUGCUUUGUGAUACACUCUCAAAGAGUCGAGUUGUUUGGGAAUGCAGCUCAAAAUGGGUGGUAAAUUCCAUCUAAAGCUAAAUAUUGGCGAGAGACCGAUAGCGAACAAGUACCGUGAGGGAAAGAUGAAAAGCACUUUGGAAAGAGAGUUAAACAGUACGUGAAAUUGCUGAAAGGGAAACGCUUGAAGUCAGUCGCGUUAGCUAGAACUCAACCAGGCUUGCUUGGCGUAUUUUCUAGUUAACGGGCCAGCAUCAGUUUUGACCGCAGGAAAAGGGCCAGGGAAAUGUGGCAUCUUCGGAUGUGUUAUAGUCUCUGGUCGUAUACUGUGAUUGGGACUGAGGACCGCAGCACGCGCAAGCUGUGCUUAGGAUGCUGGCGUAAUGGCUUUAAACGAC
rnacentral:rRNA from 1 species